UGGGGAAUAUUGCACAAUGGAGGGAACUCUGAUGCAGCGACGCCGCGUGAGUGAUGAAGGAAUUCGUUUCGUAAAACUCUGUUCUAUGGGAAGAAAAGGACUGUACCAUAGGAGAAAGCUCCGGCUAAAUACGUGCCAGCAGCCGCGGUAAUACGUAUGGAGCGAGCGUUGUCCGGAAUUAUUGGGCGUAAAGGGUGCGCAGGCGGCUUUACAAGUUGGAUGUGAAAUAUUGUGGCUCAACCACAAACGUGCAUCCAAAACUGCAAAGCUUGAGUUAAGGAGAGGUAAGUGGAAUUCCUGGUGUAGCGGUGGAAUGCGUAGAUAUCAGGAGGAAUACCGGUGGCGAAGGCAACUUACUGGACUUAAACUGACGCUCAGGCACGAAAGCGUGGGGAGCAAACAGG
rnacentral:rRNA from 1 species